GGCCCCGUGGUGUAGCGGUUAUCACUCUGGACUCUGAAUCCAGUGACCCUUGUUCAAGCCUCGGUGGGGCCU
rnacentral:tRNA from 1 species